CCCUUAGAUGUUCUGGGCCGCACGCGCGCUACACUGAUGCAUUCAACGAGUUUCUUCCUGGUCCGAGAGGAAUGGGUAACCUUUUGAAAGUGCAUCGUGAUAGGGAUAGACUAUUGCAAUUAUUGGUCUUCAACGAGGAAUUCCUAGUAGACGUAGUUCAUCAGACUGCAUCGAUUACGUCCCUGCCCUUUGUACACACCGCCCGUCGCUCCUACCGAUUGAAUGCUCAGGUGAGCCAUUCGGACUUUCAUCAUGCUGGUUUCCAGUUUAGAUGAAGGAAAGUCUUGCGAACCUUAUCAUUUAGAGGAAGGAGAAGUCGUAACA
rnacentral:rRNA from 1 species